UGGGCAACGGUAGGUCAGCAUGCCCCGAAUUAUCUGGGCUACACGCGGGCUACAAUGGGUGGGACAAUGGGUAUCGACACCGAAAGGUGAAGGCAAUCUCCUAAACCCAUCCUUAGUUCGGAUUGUGGGCUGCAACUCGCCCACAUGAAGCUGGAAUCUGUAGUAAUCGUGUUUCAAAAUAGCACGGUGAAUACGUCCCUGCUCCUU
rnacentral:rRNA from 1 species